rnacentral:rRNA from 1 species
UACGUAGGGGGCGAGCGUUGUCCGGAUUUAUUGGGCGUAAAGAGCGUGUAGGCGGCCAGGUAGGUCUGCUGUGAAAACUCGAGGCUCAACCUCGAGACGUCGGCGGAAACCAUCUGGCUAGAGUCCGGAAGAGGAGAGUGGAAUUCCUGGUGUAGCGGUGAAAUGCGCAGAUAUCAGGAAGAACACCCGUGGCGAAGGCGGCUCUCUGGGCCGGUACUGACGCUGAGGCGCGAAAGCGUGGGGAGCGAACAGG